GACGAAGGGGGGCUAGCGUUGUUCGGAAUUACUGGGCGUAAAGCGCGUGUAGGCGGUUGCCCAAGUCGGGUGUGAAAGCCUUGAGCUCAACUCAAGAAAUGCACUCGGUACUGGGUGACUAGAGGACCGGAGAGGAUAGUGGAAUUCCCAGUGUAGUGGUGAAAUACGUAGAGAUUGGGAAGAACACCAGUGGCGAAGGCGGCUAUCUGGGCGGUUUCUGACGCUAAGACGCGAAAGCGUGGGGAGCAAACAGG
rnacentral:rRNA from 1 species